GAUGAACGCUGGCGGCGUGCCUAAUACAUGCAAGUCGAGCGAACAGACGAGGAGCUUGCUCCUCUGACGUUAGCGGCGGACGGGUGAGAAACACGUGGAUAACCUACCUAUAAGACUGGGAUAACUUCGGGAAACCGGAGCUAAUACCGGAUAACAUGUUGAACCGCAUGGUUCAACAGUGAAAGACGGUCUUGCUGUCACUUAUAGAUGGAUCCGCGCCGCAUUAGCUAGUUGGUAAGGUAACGGCUUACCAAGGCAACGAUGCGUAGCCGACCUGAGAGGGUGAUCGGCCACACUGGAACUGAGACACGGUCCAGACUCCUACGGGAGGCAGCAGUAGGGAAUCUUCCGCAAUGGGCGAAAGCCUGACGGAGCAACGCCGCGUGAGUGAAGAAGGUCUUCGGAUCGUAAAACUCUGUUAUUAGGGAAGAACAAAUGUGUAAGUAACUAUGCACGUCUUGACGGUACCUAAUCAGAAAGCCACGGCUAACUACGUG
rnacentral:rRNA from 1 species